CGGAGGAGCGUCGAGGUGGGAGACCUGACAACCGGUGCGAGGGGCUAAAGGAGGAGGGCACGACCGACCGCGAGGAGGUCCGUCAGUUGAGGGACGAAGUCCUCGGUCUGAACGGGGAGCUGAGACAUGCGCAGGAAAGCCUCCAGGCGGUGACAAUUGAGCGGGACGAGGCUUCCCUCCACGCUGACUCCCUCUCUAAGUCCCUGGAGGACGAACGGUCCGAGGGCCAGGCUCUGAAUGCCCGGAUAGCAAGUCUUGAGAAGGAUCUGGAGGCCGCAGCCCAGACCUCUCUGACCCUGUCCCGGUCUGUGGGGCCAAACUAAGGGAGUUGACCGAGGCAGUGACAAACCUCUUCCGGGACCUCGACGUGGUGGGCUUCCCUCGGAGUGGUCCCCCGCGGCCUCGUAUGCAAGCCCUGGGUGGCUACGUACUCGGUGAGCUCCGUGGAGCCGUCCACGGGUGAAGCGGGCCCAGGCCGUGGUUUCCUCCCACUACGAGAUCGAUCUCGAGCAGGUAUGCGAUAGCUACGUACUCCCCAACGAGCCCGAGCUAGCUGCCACCGAGAUGCAGAGGUUUAACGACGUCGUCGAGGGGCCGGGGACUUUGAUGGCGGUCACACCCGGUUCUGGGGGCAAAACCGAAUGCAUAGCAUAUGUGGGCCAGGAUCCAUUUUCCACACAUAUGUUGAUGUCGCAAGUGUAAUAUAUCAGAAGACAAUGCAA
rnacentral:misc_RNA from 1 species